AGAUAAAGAAUGAUAAAACAUAUGGUGCUCUUGUACAUUUUUAUGUUUGGCAGUAUCAAAAUGGAAAAGCAUUGAUACAUGUGAUAUAAUGCUACUAUACACAGACUGAAGAGUAUGAAAGGGAGCUGAUGAAGUUCUUCGUUAGUUUUUAGGAAAAAAAAAUACAGAUCGUAGUUUUUUUCGUUUGCUUACAUCUCAAAUCCAUGGAUCUUGAUUCUCCACCCCAUCAAGACCCUGUAACUCCCUCUUAUGUACAGAAACUUAAGAAUAAUUCUAUCCUUCCACUUGUGUCUUCUUCCUCGAGACACUCUGUUUCCGACCUGACUGACGAAAUCACGCCGGCGGUCUCCAACACAAAUUUUAUUCCCAUUUCAGCAGCUGACAAAUCCAGAUUAUACAAUCCAUGGCAACAAUCGGUGAUUAUUAAAGUUAUGGGUAGAAAAAUUGGUCACCAAAUUCUGGGGGAAAACUUCAUGAAAUUUGGAAGAUUUCAGAACAGUUUACUCUUAUGGAUUUGGGUUAUGAAUUUUUCUUGGUCAAAUUUAACGAUGAGCAAAAUUUCCGGCAUGCCCUUCAUGAUGGUCCUCGAUUUGUGUAAGGGAAUUUCAUCUCAGUUCAAAAAUGGGAACCAAAAUUUAUAGCUUCCCAGGCUCGCAUAGCGCAUUCUGCCAUUUGGGAUCGGCUCCCAGAGUUGCAUACGGAGUUCUACGAUCUUGAGAUUCUUACAAUGGUUGACAACAAAAUAGGAACGUUGUUGAAAAUUGAUAACUGCACCUUCUUCGUCACGAGGUCGGUAUGCUCGUCUUUGCAUUCAAGUGCCGCUAGAUGAACCCCUGCUGCACCACCUUUUCCUGGGAACUCAUAAACAAAAGAUUUUAUAUGAGGCAUCUUCUAUGCUUUGUACAAAUUGUGGCAGAUUGGGACACACAUCCCAAUGCCUUUUUUUGAGUCGAUUGAAGAUGGGCAUGUCGGAGAGUCCACCACUAACGGAAGGUCACCGGCACGGAGAGCCAGAAGUACUUCCGAAAUGCAGUGGUGAUGCAGGUAGGGAUGAUAAUGGUGAGGAAAUGGAUGGCUGGCAGAUUGUGAAUUUUUCGAGAAGACCGGCGAGACGUUCGCCGGAAAAGAGUAGACCAACAGUGGCGGUAUCAUACAAGGUUUCUACACAAAAAAUAUCCACUGGUCCAGUUGAUGCGGCGCUGGUGGGCCCAGGUAAGUGCCAUACAACUAUGUCUUUCAAUUUUAAAAUUUCUACUGUUACUUCUACUCAUAUUUAUUUUGGAAUAAGCAUAAUAGGUGGGGCCAACAAUAACCUAGUGGGGCCCGUUCAUGACGGCUCACCCAACUUUUUGAGUCCUAUAAUAAAAUUAUGCAAACGUAUAGAGAUGUGGAUGUUUCCACUGGAUUUAAAUUCUGCUUUCUCCGAGUUAAAUGAAAAAGUUACUAAGUAGGAAUUGCCUCUUAAAAUAUCCGACACCUACGUGGAUGCCAUGCAACAUUUUACCCCGCGCAUGCUACGUUAAAUCGUGGCGAAUUUAAAAUUUAAGAAUUGUGAGUGAUUAAAAAAUUUUAAAAAGAAAAUCAGCUCAACAAGGUUUGAGCACCCCCAGGAACUCCUUUUAACGAAGUAUCUUAAGAUCAACCUAAAUGUCAGUGCAGCCAACUAACUUUUUAUUAUAGUGGGUGCUUUUAUAUAUUGUAUAUCUAUUUUUAUACAUUUUCUAUGUAAUUAUAUUUAUUUCGUAUCGAAUUUAGUGGGUGUCGGAAUAUCCAAAAUAGAAAGUAGUUCCGCCCCUGACGUUAAAGCCUUCAUCCAAAUCUACUACCGAUAUUAACUUGUACAAUGAUUGCAGUCCUUGUGAAAAUACCAACUUGUUAAGUUCUCCUUUAUUACCUUCUCCUAUUCAUCCCGCUAAUACUCAUUUCACUUUGGAAAAUCAGCCUGCUCCGUCCGUUAUUAUAAAUUAUGACUCUUCAUCCCAAUUGCCCGUUGAGAACUCUGCAUAUCCAUCAUGCACCCCAUUACCCUGUUCAGAAACUUUUCCUAAGCAACUUUCCUCAAAUGGAGCAGAAUUUGAACGAGCUCCCAUAUCUGAUUUACUCAUCCUCUGCUCCGAACCUGGAGCAACCACCCCAGUCGUGGCUGGAAGUAGCCCUGAUCGGGUAUGUGCUAACCUUUACCCUUUAAGUGAAUGGCCGAGAGUGUCUGGUGCUAAUUCAGAACCCUGCCUAUCCCACUAACAUUAUUAUGGAAGGGAUGACCAUUGGUUUGGAGGUUUUCAACAACCCCUCGGGAACAAGCUCGGGAGUUCAAGCUCUUCCUUUCUAUUCGGAGCAGCAUCCGAGGCACGAGGGGGCCCCGUGGAUUCAACCCCAUGUGACGGUUGUUCCCACAGAGCCACUGCAGGGUCUCGAGCUCCAGAUGCACGCCCUGAACCUGAAUGCUCCUCGAGAUCCGCAGAGUCCGAAUCAGAUGGGAAACGAGCCGGGGGGAGCAGAAACAGUGACCACUUUUCUAAGCUAGGUACGAGUAUUCCUCCUCAGAGAACUGAGCGAAAAAAAUAAGUAUAAAUUGCCCCCAAAAUAUGUUCAAGUGCUCAAUUUAUGUGAGACCGACACUGAAUCUGGAUGUCGACAAAUAUGCACUAGUUCUGAGUCCCUCCCUGAGGGAUACUGAUGUUACUUUUCCCUCCUUGGUGUCCCCCCGUCGUUUCUCUCGUCCUAUGAAUUUUCUGAUAUGGAAUUGUAGGGGGUCUAACUCCUAGGAUUUUAGACUAAACUUCAGAGAUCUUCUCGAGUUGCAUAAACCCGCUCUAGUAGUUCUGCUGGAAACCCAUAGGGACAACCACCAGUCUAUGCCCUAUGAGUUUCAUUUUUUGAAUGUUGCUGCUGUUCCGGCUGAGGGACAGACAGGUGGUAUUGCCAUUUUAUGUAAAGCUGAUAUUUUAAAUGUAACUGAAGUAGCGCUUACCCACCAAGAAAUCCACUGCAUGGUCCAGGUCCCUAAUGCAUAGUUUGCAUGAUCUGCCGCUGAGUCACGUUUACAAGGAACAAAAUAAGAUGGCAGAUACACUGACCAGAAUAAUUAUAUCCACUACAAAUAGUACUUCUUUGUUAUGGGAUCCUCCACCAUCCACUUUGGACAUUUUGUGAGCAGAUAAAAAUGGAGAAUCAUCAUGUCGGAUAGCUAGACUAUCUACUCCCACUGGGAGAUUAUAUAAUAGUAAUGCUACUGCUUAUCAGGUUGUAAAUACUAGUUUUAGAGGGGCAACUACUGUUGCUGUCAGUGUUUGUACAGUGCCACAACAUAUAUCCUUGUAGACGUGCGAUUUAUAAUAUAAACUUCCUAUGUUUACCAAAAAAAAAGAAGA